CCUACGGGUGGCAGCAGUAGGGAAUCUUUCACAAUGGGCGAAAGCCUGAUGGAGCAAUGCCGCGUGAAUGAUGAAGGUCUUAUCGAUUGUACAAUUCUUUUCUUUGGGAAGAAAAACUCAAGUAGAAAAUGACUUUAGUCUGACUGUACCAUUUGAAUAAGUAUCGGCUAACUCUGUGCCAGCAGCCGCGGUAAUAAAUAGGAUGCAAGCGUUAUCCGGAUUUACUGGGCGUAAAACGAGCGCAGGCGGGUUAACAAGUUUGGUAUGAAAGGCUUUUGCUUAACGAAAGUGUGUAUCAAAAACUGUUAAUCUAGAGGGUAGUAGAGAGUUCUGGAAUGCCAUGUGGAGCGGUGGAAUGCGUAGAUAUAUGGAAGAACACCAGUGGCGAAGGCGAGAACUUAGGCUAUCACUGACGCUGAGGCUCGAAAGUGUGGGGAGCAAAUAGGAUUAGAUACCCGGGUAGUC
rnacentral:rRNA from 1 species